rnacentral:rRNA from 1 species
CACGCCGUAAACGAUGAGUGCUAGGUGUUAGACCCUUUCCGGGGUUUAGUGCCGCAGCUAACGCAUUAAGCACUCCGCCUGGGGAGUACGACCGCAAGGUUGAAACUCAAAGGAAUUGACGGGGGCCCGCACAAGCGGUGGAGCAUGUGGUUUAAUUCGAAGCAACGCGAAGAACCUUACCAGGUCUUGACAUCCCUCUGACCGCUCUAGAGAUAGAGUUUUCCUUCGGGACAGAGGUGACAGGUGGUGCAUGGUUGUCGUCAGCUCGUGUCGUGGGAUGUUGGGUUNNNNNNNGCAACGAGCGCAACCCCUAUUGUUAGUUGCCAUCAUUCAGUUGGGCACUCUAGCGAGACUGCCGGUAAUAAACCGGGGGAAGGUGGGGAUGACGUCAAAUCAUCAUGCCCCUUAUGACCUGGGCUACACACGUGCUACAAUGGCUGGUACAACGAGUCGCAAGCCGGUGACGGCAAGCUAAUCUCUUAAAGCCAGUCUCAGUUCGGAUUGUAGGCUGCAACUCGCCUACAUGAAGUCGGAAUCGCUAGUAAUCGCGGAUCAGCACGCCGCGGUGAAUACGUUCCCGGGCCUU